UCUCCUGGGAUAGCAGAGACAGACUCGUGUUGAGUAUUCUUGAGAGCAUGAGAAGUGCUGAGAACAGUCAUGGGGUGCCAAAGGCAAAGUCAGCAGGUCCAGAAAAAUACAGGAGACGAAGCCACACCACACUCCUACACAAGUGCUUUUCUGCUUUCUGGGCAGGGCCACACAAGGUUGGCCUUCAACUCCUGGUCUUCUUGUCUCACCACCCCAAGACUGAGGUUCCAGGCAUGCACAACUGGGUUCCGUGUGAGACUUGUGAUGCCCUCAUGUGUUGUGUCCUGAGAACCCAGCAUGGAUGCUACACUGUGCCCACACACAAGGACUGUUCAGUUGCACACGUCACAGGAACCUUCCCGUCUUGUUUGCUUGCUUUCUCAUUAGUUCUCGUCUCCCACAACUUGGUUUUGGAGGACUGCAUGGGACUGGGCUGUUUGACUUGACAUUCAUUUAUACUAAUCUGUCUUAAGUACCAAGUGGCACAUUUUGACAUCUAUUUUGUUAUUAUUUUUACUGUUAUGUGGGGGCGUGCAUGCACACACAAGUGUGUCUUACUGGA
rnacentral:lncRNA from 1 species